rnacentral:rRNA from 1 species
UACGGGGGGAGCAAGCGUUGUUCGGAUUUACUGGGCGUAAAGGGCGCGUAGGCGGCGUGGUAAGUCACUUGUGAAAUCUCCGGGCUUAACUCGGAACGGUCAAGUGAUACUGCUGUGCUAGAGUGCGGAAGGGGCAACUGGAAUUCUUGGUGUAGCGGUGAAAUGCGUAGAUAUCAAGAGGAACACCUGCGGCGAAGGCGGGUUGCUGGGCCGACACUGACGCUGAUGCGCGAAAGCCAGGGGAGCGAACGGG